UACGAUGCGACGAGAAGUAACUGUGG
rnacentral:piRNA from 1 species